CCCAGCCCUGCCAAAAGUGGGGAUCAUAACAUAUCACUAAACUUAGCACCAAGGUGUUAUGACUCUCCUUGUUUGCCUGGGCCCUGCAUAUAUUUGGUAAUAUGACGUAAGGCUGAGACAAACACCUGGGGCGUGAGAGCCUCCCGCCUGGGUCCUGGCCACAAGGAGCCUUUUGGCUUAUCUCUGCAUCCAUCAACCAGGAGAUGUGACUCUUCUUUUCUGUCUGGGUUCUACAAAAACAAGUGAUUGUGACAUAUUAUCAAACCCAGCAACUAGAUGAUGUGAUUUCUCUUCCCUGCUUGAACUCUGGAUAUGCUGUGUAUUGUGACAUAUGGCUGGGUCCAACAUUAAGGAUUGUGACAUAUCGCUGAACCUAGCACCUGGGUGAUGUGACUUUGUUUUAUUGCCUGUGUCCUGCAUUUUUUAAGUAUUGUGACAUGUCCCUGGCCACAACAUCUAAAGAAUUGGGAGG
rnacentral:lncRNA from 1 species